UCAAGUUCUGACAGUUGGUUAUUAAGCUCUGAGUCUCUCUCUGACUUCUGGUGCAGACAGACUCAUUUCAGACUUUCAGAUCAGAUCAAAGGAGAGACAGAAAUCAAACCCAUCUUAAAAGUUUCUGCUUUCCUGACUGUGAGAAAUCAUCAUGGAGAAGAAGCUGUCAAAUCUGUUGUGUUGGAGAGCUGUUUCAGAGGAGAAAGACAGAAGGAGCUACUCAAUUGGAACACCAUCUUAGAGGGCUACCUGGGCCACUGCUAAGGAUUCAGAAAUGAAAUUUUGGAAGACCAACAUGUUACAGUCACAUUGCCAUUGGUUGUUUGAUAGGUCAGCAUCCAAAUGUGGCAGAGUUAAGGCAAUGAACAUCAUUGGUAGGAUGGUCGUCAUAGCAUUGGUGCUAAGGUUCACAAUCUGCUUGAAAAGAGAGAAAAGGAGGGAAUAGUUGGUGAAUGACAUUUAUUUCUAAAAAAUAAAGACAAUAAUGAAUACUGUACCUUUAUGAACCUUUAUGUGUUAUAAGUCAUUCAGGUAGAUAUAAGUUGCAUUUUUGUGCCUUGGAAAUGUUUUUUCAAUAAAAACUUUGUUAAU